UACGUAGGUGGCAAGCGUUGUCCGGAUUUAUUGGGCGUAAAGAGCGUGUAGGCGGCCAUACAGGUCAGCUGUGAAAACUCGAGGCUCAACCUCGAGACGUCGGUUGAAACCGUGUGGCUAGAGUCCGGAAGAGGAGAGUGGAAUUCCCGGUGUAGCGGUGAAAUGCGUAGAUAUCAGGAGGAACACCGGUGGUGUAGACGGCUUUCUGGACCGUAACUGACGCUGAGACACGAAAGCGUGGGUAGCAAACAGG
rnacentral:rRNA from 1 species